GGCCACGAAGGGGUUCGGCCAAAGCAGAGAUUUUGUGGGAAAAUUGGCCCAACUGGUUGACGAGGCCUAGAAAAGAACGGAGAUCUGUACGAUCAACAGGUAUGGGAAAUUUGCGGAUGGCAUCGAGUUUUGAAGGCCCAUACGCCACACAUCGUUCUAAGAUGGCCGAAAGGGACGAAACCAAUGAUUUAAAUGAAGGUCGCCCAAUGGCCAUAUCGUCAAUGACUUUGUUGAACUCAAGACCCGCCAAAGCUAUAUCACCACGAUAGGAGAACGAGUCUCCCGUGAAAAUGAAUCCCAUUGGGGAACGUAAAACAAUAUUUCCCAAAGGGAGUGAUGAAUGUGAUGAUUGAAAGCCAGAUAUGGCUUCGAGAGGGGUCUUGGUGGGACAACCGCACCACCUGGGAGUUCAACCGAGUCAAGUCCACGCAGAGGCGAAUGGACCCGUCCGAUUUUGGAAUUAAAACUAUUGGAUGGCACCAAAGGGACGGAACAUCUCCCAAGGGCUCGAUGAUCUCCAUUUUCGUCAUUUCCGUCAAUUCCAAAAGUAGUUUGUCCUUUUGGGGGCGUGGGACUUGGCGAGAUGUGUGAAUGGUGAAAGGCUUUGCGUCCAGCUUCAGCGUGAUUACCAUGGAAUU